rnacentral:rRNA from 1 species
CAGCAGCCGCGGUAAUACGAAGGGGGCUAGCGUUGCUCGGAAUCACUGGGCGUAAAGGGUGCGUAGGCGGGUCUUUAAGUCAGGGGUGAAAUCCUGGAGCUCAACUCCAGAACUGCCUUUGAUACUGAAGAUCUUGAGUUCGGGAGAGGUGAGUGGAACUGCGAGUGUAGAGGUGAAAUUCGUAGAUAUUCGCAAGAACACCAGUGGCGAAGGCGGCUCACUGGACCGACACUGACGCUGAGGCGCGAAAGCGUGGGGAGCAAACAGGAUUAGAUACCCGAGUAGUCCCUGUCUCUUAUAC